CCGCUGCCAACCCGGAAGGAGCCCGGAGGGGCCCGGGCGGCCAGGGCGCCCCCGCCAGGAGGCCCGCCAGGUGUCCACCUGAGCCCCACGCCCUGCGCCGCGGGGCCCUUUUGGGGGCGGGGUGCCAGCUCCGAGGUGUCCUCCCACGGGCUGUAGACUGGGAAACUGAGGCCCGGGCCACGGUCCCAGACGCAGCCGGGACCCGAACCCACCUCACCUGAGCGAAUGAUAUCCGGGACUCAUCCUUUUUCGACACCUUUGCGGGAUCCAGCCCUCCAAGGAAAGCUUCCUGAGCAGUGCGCGCCACGUGUAUUGGGCACCUCACCGCGGCCACUUCACAUCCUAUCUCAGGUGGAGAAACUAAGCCACAGAAAGGAGCUGUCAUUUACCUAAAGCACCGUGGCAGGGGUUUGGCAGAGCCAGGAUUUGUACCCAGAUCGCCUGACUUCGGAGAGUAACAGCUCUUAACCACAGCACUUCGGUCUAUGCCUUGAUUUCACCAUAUGUAACAAGGGUCUCGCUCAUCACCAGGCUGGAGUACAGUGACAUGAUCAUGGCUCACUGCAGCCUCAACCUCCCGGGUUCAGGCUAUCCUCCCACCUCAGCCUCCCAGGACCACAGGCGUGUGCCACCAUGCCCAGCUAAUUUUUUGUAGAGAUGGGGUUAUGCCAUGUUGCCCAGGCUGGUCUCGAGCUGCUGGGCACAAGCAAUCUACCCAUCUCAGUCUCCCAAAGUGCUGGCAUUAUAGUCGUGAGCCACUGUGCCCAGCCAACAGCGUCUUUCAAAGAGCAGAGAGAGGUUAAUUUUGAUGAUGUCCAGUUUGCACCUUUGUUGAAAAUUGACCAUAUAUCUGUGAGUCUGUUUCUAGACUCUUUGUUCUGCUUUAUUAAACUACUUGUCUAUUUGUACACCAAUGCCACACUGUCUUCAUUGCUGUGCCUUUGUAAUAAGUUUUAAAGUUAGGUCAUUUAAGUCCUUUAAUUUUGUUCCUCUUUUUCAAAGUUGUUUUGACUAUUCUAAGCUUUUGCAUUUCCAAUACAUUUUGUAAUCAGCUUGUAAAUUUCUACCAAAAAAGCCUGCUGAGACUUUGACUGAAAUUAUGUUGAGUUUGUAGAUUAAUUUGGGAAGAAUUGACAUAUUGACAGUAUCGAGUCUCUCAACCCAUGAACAUGGUAUACCUCUCCAUUUAUUUAGACCUUUAGAGCUUUUUCUCAGAAACAUUUUGUAGCUUUUUUUUUUUUUUUUUGAGACGGAGUCUUGCCCUGUCACCCAGGCUGGAGUGCAGUGGCACGAUUUUGGCUCACUAUAACCUCUGCCUCCCGGGUUCACGCGGUUCUCCUGCCUCAGCCUCCCAGGUUCACGCGGUUCUCCUGCCUCAGCCUCCUGAGUAGCUGGGAUUACAGGCAGGCGCCACCAUGCCCGGCUAAUUUUUGUAUUUUUAGUGGAGACGGGGUUUCACCAUCUUGGCCAGGAUGGUCUCGAUCUCUUGACCUCGUGAUCCGCCCGCCUCAGCCUCCCAAAGUGCUGGGAUUACAGGCAUGAGCCACCACGCCCAGCUUGUUUUGUAGCUUUAAUUGUAUAGGCCUAACAUACUUUUUUGUUCUGUUUAGUCUAUUUCAUAUUUUUAUGCUACCGUAAAUAGUAUUUUUUAAAAUUUCAAUGUCCAGGUGUUUUUUGCUAGUAAUAUAUUUUUUAUGUUGAUCUUGUAUCUUUCAACCUUAUUAUACUCAUUUAUUAGUUCCAGCAGCUUUUUUGCAAAUUCCAUCAGAUUUUUAACUUAGAUGAACAUUUUUUUUUUUGCAAAUAAAGGCAACUUUUCUUCUUUAUAUCAAAUCUGAAUUUUUUUUAUUUCCUUUUCUUGUCUGAUUAUAUGGGCUAGAAUCUCCAAUACAAUGUUGAAUAGAAGUGGUGAGAGUAGACAGACCUGUCUUGUUCAUGAUCUUAGGGGAAAAACAUUAAUGAACCCUAAUGUUCAUUAUAGGGUUUUGUUUGGUAGAUGCCUUUUAUUAGGUAAGAAGAUUCCCUUCUAUUCCUGGCUUGCUUAAUUUUUUUUUUAACAAUCAGGAACGAAUCUUGGAUUUUGCCAAAUGUUUUUUCUGCCUUUAAUGAAAUGAUCUGAUCAUUUUAAUUGUUUAGUCUGUUAAUACAGUGAAUUACACUGAUUGAUUUUCCAGUGUUAAAGCCACUUUGCAGUCCUAGGAGAAAUCCCACUGGUUGUGAUGUACAGUUGUCUUCCCUUAUCCAUGGGGGAUGUGUUCCAAGACCCCUAGUGAAUGCCUGAAACCUCAGAUAGUACCAAACCCUAUAUACACUAUGUUUUUUCCUGUACAGACAUACCUAUGAUAAAGCCUAAUUUAUAAAUUAGGCACAGUAAGAUAUUAACAAUAACUAAUAAUAAAAUAGAACAAUUAUAACAAUAUACUGUAAUAAAAGUUAUAUGAAUGUGGUCUCUCUCUGUUUUCU
rnacentral:lncRNA from 10 species